rnacentral:tRNA from 1 species
AUUUAAAUAGUUUAAAAAAAUAUUGAUUUGUGGGAUCAAAGAUAUAAGAUUUUUAUUUUAAAUA